CCUCUCCUAGAUACCAUUUAAGGGCUGACCACCACCUCAAGCUCUCUUUCUGGAGACUGCUUCUUUGUGGAGUUCUGCUGGCAAGCCUCAGUGUUUUCCAUCUGGACUGAAGGCCUCAGAGUUGAAUGAAAACAUAAAUUGUUAUGGAAAGAGUGGAGCAGAUCAGCAGCCAAACCAGGCCCCAAAUAUUUCUGUCUCAGUUGUACAGAAAUAGAACUGAAGGCGACGCAGCUGGACGUGCAUGGAGAGCAGUGGAGGACAUGGCUUCAAUGAUUGACAGUUGAAGACAACUGAGUCUGGGCUUUUCCUCAAAAUAUCUGAGUACAGAAGAUUGUAAAGCAGUGCUUUAGCACAUCUCUCUUUCUCCCAGAUCAUUUACAAAUCACAAACACAAACAUUAGUUUCCAGCAGUCUUAUUAAAUCAUCAUUUGU